AUUUCAGUAGCCGCUUCAGGUUCUCCCCAUCUCAAUCUUCUCAAAUCAUACUCAUUUUCUACAUUUAAUUCUUUUAGUAUGAAAUAAUGAUUUGUUUUUUGUAACUAAUUCAAUGGGAAGGAUGUCUCACAGGAAAUUCGAACACCCAAGGCACGGUUCUCUUGGAUUUCUCCCAAGGAAGCGUGCUGCUCGUCACAGAGGAAAAGGUUGUCAUGCAAGUAGUGUUUUUUGCUAAAAUAAUGUGAUAAC